rnacentral:rRNA from 1 species
GACGAACGCUGGCGGCGUGCUUAACACAUGCAAGUCGAACGGAAAGGCCCUGCUUUUGUGGGGUGCUCGAGUGGCGAACGGGUGAGUAACACGUGAGUAACCUGCCCUUGACUUUGGGAUAACUUCAGGAAACUGGGGCUAAUACCGGAUAGGAGCUCCUGCUGCAUGGUGGGGGUUGGAAAGUUUCGGCGGUUGGGGAUGGACUCGCGGCUUAUCAGCUUGUUGGUGGGGUAGUGGCUUACCAAGGCUUUGACGGGUAGCCGGCCUGAGAGGGUGACCGGCCACAUUGGGACUGAGAUACGGCCCAGACUCCUACGGGAGGCAGCAGUGGGGAAUAUUGCACAAUGGGAGGAAGCCUGAUGCAGCAACGCCGCGUGCGGGAUGACGGCCUUCGGGUUGUAAACCGCUUUCGCCUGUGACGACGCGUGAGUGACGGUAAUGGGUAAAGAAGCACCGGCUAACUACGUG